GGCAUCUAGAGAGUAAAGUCUCUUGCCCUCAGCCAAAUCCCAAAGCAAAAUCAUCCCAUCUUUUCCACCACUAGCGCACAGAGAACCAUCCGGCGACACUGCAACGGUGUUCACAUAGCCACCGUGUCCGGCCAAAGUUGAUCUGAGCUUACAGUUAGUCAAAUUCCAGAUCUUCACAGUUUUGUCCCAUGAGGCUGAGACAAUUGUUGGCUGCAAAGUGUUGGGGCUGAAACGAACACAACUUACCCAAUCACUGUGAGCGUCGCCGUCUUGGAUUGUGUAUUUGCAUUCUCCGAGUGUGUUCCACAGUUUGAUCGACUUGUCACGGGAUGCAGAGACGAUCUGACGGUUGUCGAUCGAGAAUGCGACGGAAAGGACGUCUUUGGUGUGGCCAACGAAGCGGCGUGCGGUGGUUCCGGCGUUGAGAUCCCAGAGACGGAGUUCUCCGUCCCAUGAACCUGAGAGAGCAAACUGACCGUCGGAGGAGAGAACGACGUCUUGAACAAAGUGAGAGUGGCCGGUGAGA
rnacentral:lncRNA from 1 species